rnacentral:rRNA from 1 species
GCGGACGGGUGAGUAAUACUUAGGAAUAUGCCUUUGCGUGGGGGAUAACUAUUGGAAACGAUAGCUAAUACCGCAUAAUGUCUUCGGACCAAAGGGGGCUUCGGCUCCCGCGCAAAGAGUAGCCUAAGCGAGAUUAGCUUGUUGGUGGGGUAAAGGCUCACCAAGGCGACGAUCUCUAGCUGUUCUGAGAGGAAGAUCAGCCACACUGGAACUGAGACACGGUCCAGACUCCUACGGGAGGCAGCAGUGGGGAAUAUUGCACAAUGGGCGCAAGCCUGAUGCAGCCAUGCCGCGUGUGUGAAGAAGGCCUUCGGGUUGUAAAGCACUUUCAGUUGUGAGGAAAGGUUAACGGUUAAUACCCGUUAGCUGUGACGUUAGCAACAGAAGAAGGACCGGCUAACUCCGUGCCAGCAGCCGCGGUAAUACGGAGGGUCCGAGCGUUAAUCGGAAUUACUGGGCGUAAAGCGCACGCAGGCGGUUUGUUAAGCUAGAUGUGAAAGCCCUGGGCUCAACCUGGGAAUUGCAUUUAGAACUGGCAGGCUAGAGUUUUGGAGAGGGGAGUGGAAUUCCAGGUGUAGCGGUGAAAUGCGUAGAUAUCUGGAGGAACAUCAGUGGCGAAGGCGACUCCCUGGUCAGUAACUGACGCUCAUGUGCGAAAGUGUGGGUAGCGAACAGGAUUAGAUACCCUGGUAGUCCACACCGUAAACGCUGUCUACUAGCUGUUUGUGGAUUUAAUCCGUGAGUAGCGAAGCUAACGCGAUAAGUAGACCGCCUGGGGGA